ensembl:lncRNA
CAAAUUAUACUCUAAAUUAAGGCUAGAUGUUUGCUGUAAGAUAUUGGUUAAUUAUUGUGUGUGUGUGUGUGUGUGUGUGUGUGUGUGUGUGUGUGUGUGUGUGUGUGUGUGUGUGUGUGUGUGUGUGUGUGUGUGUGUGUGUGUGUGUGUGUGUGUGUGUGUGUGUGUGUGUGUAAAGUAUGCAUGCUCCCCGUGUCAGUGUCCUAUGGGAGAGACUCAGAUUUCUUGUUUGCCAAAUAGUGAAUUUGGAUGGGAGGAAUCUUCAGCCACUCCUGUUGACCUUGGCCAGUGAUCCUGUCAUUGCUACGAAAUGUUUUACCCCAUGCCCCGUUCUUUAUUUUUUUUUUUUUUUUUUUAUGUGGGUCAAGUACUCUACUUUCCUAACCACUGUGCACGUAAAGUCCUAAGUUGGCAUGACCCAAUGCUGCACAGUUGAGAGAGUUUGGACCAAAGUGAUUUCUGUAUUAAGACAGAAGGUUUAGGAUUUAGUUUUUAUCGGGGGUCCAGUAUCAUGGAAGCCCUUGGUCUGUGUAUAGCAGUGUGGCAUCGAAGGGGAAUAAGGACCGACCGACCAGCCUGUCUAAAUUUAAUGGAGAAGUUGACUCAACCCUACACUGUAUUACAAAUGUGUCAGAUUUUUUAACUAUUUUUAUAAAGGGGGAAAAAUACUGUUGUUCAGUAUGUGUGGAUAUUUGUUUGGAGACAGUAUUUUAUAUAUAACGAAGCUUGCGGACCUGUUGAUGUUUGGUGCACAUUGCUUUGUAGACAUUUAUUUAGCUUGGUGAAGGUAUUAUUCAACAAAGUUACAAAGAAACGGAUGAGACUCAACACGACACUGCAGGUGGGAAACUGUAGCGUUUAUAAGAUAAAUAUCGAUAGUCCUCUUCAAAUCUCAACUUUAUCUUGUUUAAUUCAAGUUGAAUAGUAGAGAAAAAACGUUUAAGAAAUCUUGUGUAUUGGCUCGUACAGCACACACACACACACACACACACACACACACACACACACACACACACGAGUGCACAGUUGAUGAGCCGCCACAGCACACAAAUGCACUGGUUGUAUAAUACAUGUAUAGUGCAUGUCACGUCAAAGCACUGUCAAGUUGGGUUGACUUACCCAUAUUUAUUUAUUCACCUGCAGUCAUGAAUUCAAAAGACAUUUCUGCAUUAGGUCCCUCCUCAUAGUUAUUCUGGUAACCUAUUGAAGAGGCUGUGAGCGGUUGCUUUAUCCUAAACAUAUUUAACCGAGACUGCUUUGCAGAAUGGAUAAAUAUUCGUUGUCAUACAGUCUUUAUUUUUAUUUUAGGUUGAAGCUUUGUAGAUGUUUUGUUUUUUGAAUGCUUUGAUGGUAUGUAUGCAAAAUUCUUGUUGGUUCUAUUGUUUUUUUUUGUUAUCUUUUGUUACGUGUAUCAAUAAAG